GUGCUCACUUUGGCAGCACGUGUACUACAGUGAGAACAACAGAGAGAUCAGUAUGGCCUCUGCACAAGGGUGACACACAAGUGUCUGAAGCGUUCCAUAUUAAA